rnacentral:tmRNA from 1 species
CACGGGAUGCCGUUGGCCCGUUAAAAAACGGCACUAACCAUAAUCGCCAAUGAUUAUGACUAUGCAGUAGCCGCGUAAACUCGUUUUACCUGGUUACCGUUCUCUAUUCUUUUGUUCGUGAGGUUUAGAAGAACGUUAUUUUAGCGAACGAGCUGUGUGCCCAGCGUCUCGGGGGUAUGUGGUGAUUGAGAGACUGGUUCGGGUGGUAUCCUGUCCGCUGGAGUAGCCCGAACGAGACCCAAAGAGCGGAAUAAGCAUGUAGACGCUUUGCGUUGACGACUUUCGGACGGGGGUUCGAUUCCCCCCGCCUCCACCA